GUAAACAAUAGAGCACGCUCUGCGCUUUGGCGCGCCGGAGCUCUGGCUCCUAAAAAUAUUGAGGGGCUUUCGUUUCUGGGGCUGGGCGCUGGGCACUUGCUCUCCUGGCUCCCAAAGAUGUUAGCAAUAAAGUUUUGCCGCAGAAGAUUUUGGUCUGUGGUGUUCUUCCUGGCCGGUCGUGAGAACGCGUCUAAUAACAAUUGGUGCCGAAUUCCGGGACGAGAAAUUCCGGGACGAGAAAAAAUCCGGGAAGAAAAAACCUGGGAGGAAACUCGGGACGGGAGUUUCACCGGCGCAGGGAAGAUCCCUCAUUCCAGAACCAGAACUGCGGGUCGCGGUAAUAAAGGUUCCCGUAAAGCAGACUGUUAAGAAGGAUUCAACUGCAUGAAUUCAGAACUUUUCAGCUGGGGAACGGCGGUAACCCGAUCCUCUGCCUCUCUCUGGUCUCACCUUGAGCCACAAUGAUGACCAUGGUCAGCUCUUUACCAGUUCAAAACACUCCACAACUUUGGCUUUUUUUGCGGUAAGGUCUCUAUUUGUCUCUCUUGAGCUAAGAUCAUGAUCAAGAAAGAUCUUGAGCUCAAGACCUUUCUGCCUCCAGCCCUCCGAGUACUGGAUCACCAUCCAAGUGGUGGGAUAUGCUACCAUACCCAGCAAAAGACUAAAUGUUAGUGGAAAUCUCCAGGUGGAAACACUAAUCUUAAGGUUAUCUUCCCCAUUUGAAAAUGGUUUGUUUAUGCCUGAAUUACUGUUUAUUGCUAUACAUACACACUGUAGAGGAAUAUAUGUAUUUAUACUAUUUAAUUUAAACUGGUAAUCAAGUUUAUGGUAAUCUUCCUUCCUCAGAGUCUCAAAUGUUGGGAUUACUAUUGAAUGCUACCACACCUCACCAGGACCUUGAACCACCAGCCCAGGGAUUGCCCCACCCACAGUGGGCUGGGCCCUCAACCAUCAAUCACUAAGAAAAUGCAGGAUCUUGUAGAGGCAUUUUUCUCAAUUGAGGUUCCCUUCUUUCAAAUAACUAGUUUGUGUCAAGUUAACAUAAAACUAGCCAGCAUACUAGUGGUAGUACUUACUAGAGAGUUAUAAUUCUCCUGAACUAGAUCCAGUUAGGCAUCUCUACCCUAAGCUGCAAACCUGAAGUAUCAGAAAACAGAGACCUCCCCCCAACAUCUCCCCCCACCUUCCUCUUACCUCCCUCACUCCUCCCCCACUCCAGUCCAGACCUUCCAGUGGUAAACACUGAGGGUGUCCUAAGCCCUCCUGGUAGGUAAUAAGGCUGUGGUUCUCAGCAGAGCUGCACAUUGGAAUUGCCUGGAGAGAGCCAGUGAGCUGCCUAGGUGGCUCAGGACACUUGCCACCAAGCCUGAUGACCUGAGCUUGAUCCCUUGAACAGGAGAGACCUGACUCUGGCUUCCACACACAUGCCAUGAUAUGCCAGCAAUUAGAAGCAUACACAUAAAUAAAUGUAAAAAUCAAAAAAGGUAAAAGAAUUACAUGGAAUAUUUAAAAAAAAUUGAGAUAUGCGUGCUCCAUUGAGACCAACUGUUAUCAUCUGAGGGACAGGGACCAGUCAUAGAAUUUCUCAAAGCUCCAAGAUUAUACGUAUCUAAGGCUUAAGAAUAUACCUCUUGCCCUGCGCGGUGGCGCACACCUUUGAUCCCAGCACUUGGGAGGCAGAGGCAGGUGAAUUUCUGAGUUCAAGGCCAGCCUGGUCUACAGAGUGAGUUCCAGAACAGCCAGGGCUACACAGAGAAACCCUGUCUCAAAAAACCAAAAAAUAAAAAACCAUAAAAACAACAGAAUAUACCUCUUGGGUGUGUGUGUGUGUGUGGAGAGAUGGCUCAGCAAUUAAGUCCUCUGACUAGCACAUGUACACAAUGUCACACAUACACACAUGUACACACACAUACACACUUGUAUACACACACACACUCAUUCACGCACAGGCGGUACACUCUACCAAACCUGGCACAUCCUGUGUUUCUGGAAGUGAAGUGAAAGCCAGAUUCCCUCGCACCCAUCCACCAUUUUAUGUGACCGACUGGGUAAAUCUGAUCUGUGGAGACCGCCUCACCUCCUUGCUUUCAGCCAGAGGGGAUGACUCUGAGCUUGUUUAAAAAGCGGAGCAAAAAGCCUCGAAGAUAUGGGUACAGGGGAAAAAUUCCUAAAUAGAACAGCAAUGGCUUGUGCUCUAAGAUCGAGAAUCGAUAAAUGGGACCUCAUAAAAUUGCAAAGCUUCUGCAAGGCAAAAGACACUGUCAAAAGGACAAAAAGACCACCAACAGAUUGGGAAAGGAUCUUUACCUAUCCCAAAUUGGAUAGGGGACUAAUAUACAAUAUAUAUAAAGAACUCAAGAAGGUGGACUCCAGAAAAUCAAAUAACCCCAUUAAAAAUGGGGCUCAGAGCUGAACAAAGAAUUCUCACCUGAGGAAUACCAAAUGGCAGAGAAGCACCUGAAAAAAUGUUCAACAUCCUUAAUCAUCAGGGAAAUGAAAAUCAAAACAACCCUGAGAUUCCACUUCACACCAGUCAGAAUGGCUAAGAUCAAAAAUUCAGGUGACAGCAGAUGCUGGCGAGGAUGUGGAGAAAGAGGAGCACUCCUCCAUUGUUGGUGGGAUUGCAAGCUUGUACAACCACUCUGGAAAUCAGUCUGGCGGUUCCUCAGAAAAUUGGACA
rnacentral:lncRNA from 1 species